CGGAGGAUCCAAGCGUUAUCCGGAAUCAUUGGGUUUAAAGGGUCCGUAGGCGGUCUUGUAAGUCAGUGGUGAAAGCCCAUCGCUCAACGGUGGAACGGCCAUUGAUACUGCAGGACUUGAAUUAUUAGGAAGUAACUAGAAUAUGUAGUGUAGCGGUGAAAUGCUUAGAUAUUACAUGGAAUACCAAUUGCGAAGGCAGGUUACUACUAAUUGAUUGACGCUGAUGGACGAAAGCGUGGGGAGCGAACAGGAUUAGAUACCCUGGUAGUCCACGCCGUAAACGAUGGAUACUAGCUGUUGGGGGCAACUUCAGUGGCUAAGCGAAAGUGAUAAGUAUCCCACCUGGGGAGUACGUUCGCAAGAAUG
rnacentral:rRNA from 1 species